rnacentral:lncRNA from 1 species
AUCAAUACAUGAUUUAUGUCCAUUUUUUAAUCUAUAAAAGAUAAAAUUUUCAGAAAUUCUUAAUUAUCACUUUCAAUAAUUUCUAAGAAUGUGAAAUUACAAUAAUGAAUCAAGGCUUCGUAGCAGUAAACAUCCAAUCAACAGGAUAGACUAUAGAUGCUUUAACUACCCAAUCAGCAACCCUAUAUGAAUGAAAUCAUGAACGUGAAGCAUGAAUUAUAGCAUCAACUUCCCAUGGAAGCUUAGACAUUGGUACAUCUUUUGACUCCAAAACCCAAGUGGCAGGGAUAGCUGCGGCUUCCAGAGACUUGACUAGCUAGUAGGGAAACAAGCAAUGAGAUUGGAAGCUUCAUUUCAGGGUAAUGGUUUUAUAUAAAUUAUUAUAUGCAAUAAAUCAAAGGGAUUUUAACUUACACAUUGAUGAUCUUUUCCUUCAUGACACACUUGCAUGCUUUCAAUUUCUAAUCAUGGGUUCACAAGAUACCACAGUUCCUGGAAUAAUAGACAAAGCGAAAGCUCCACUUCACAAGUUGCAGGCAGCAGCCCUUUAACUUUUAUUCCAUGGAAAAUCCAGAAAAAAAAAAUCUCCGUCUCAAUCGGCUAUAUAUUUCCUAUCAACAUGACGGCAUAUAUAACCACGUCUCUUUCUAGUUUCAUGUGAAUGCUGAUGCGUAAAAACAGAUGAAAGAUGGGUAGCAAUUGCCAACAGAUAAAGCGACUUCAUGAUAGUGAUUUGCUGUUCCAAAAGCUUCCAUAAAACUGCACAACCUCUAUCCCGUGACAAAUGUUUGAUUUAAAGGCCGCAGCUCUCCGCCAAGGAACACAAAGCAAAGCCUGACAUGAAAACCGCCCAAAACCAUGCAUUCAAUUUCAG